GUCUAUGGCCAUGCUACCCUGAACACGCCCGAGCCCAUCUGAUCUCGGAAGCUAAGCAAGUUAGUACAUGCCUUGUACUAAGUAGGUUAGUACAAGCCUGGUUAGUACAUGGAUGGGAGACCACCUAGGAAGACCAGGUGCUGUAGGCU
rnacentral:rRNA from 1 species